rnacentral:rRNA from 1 species
AUUGAACGCUGGCGGCAUGCUUUACACAUGCAAGUCGAGCGGCAGCGCGGGCUUCGGCCUGGCGGCGAGUGGCGAACGGGUGAGUAAUACAUCGGAACGUGCCCAGUAGUGGGGGAUAGCUCGGCGAAAGCCGGAUUAAUACCGCAUACGACCUGAGGAUGAAAGCGGGGGAUCUUCGGACCUCGCGCUCUUGGAGCGGCCGAUGGCAGAUUAGCUAGUUGGUGGGGUAAAGGCCUACCAAGGCGACGAUCUGUAGCUGGUCUGAGAGGACGACCAGCCACACUGGGACUGAGACACGGCCCAGACUCCUACGGGAGGCAGCAGUGGGGAAUUUUGGACAAUGGGCGAAAGCCUGAUCCAGCAAUGCCGCGUGUGUGAUGAAGGCCUUCGGGUUGUAAAGCACUUUUGGCGGGAACGAAAAGGACUGUGCCAAUACCACGGUUCGAUGACGGUACCCGCAGAAUAAGCACCGGCUAACUACGUG